AGAGUUUGAUCCUGGCUCAGAACGAACGCUGGCGGCAGGCUUAACACAUGCAAGUCGAACGCCCCGCAAGGGGAGUGGCAGACGGGUGAGUAACGCGUGGGAACGUACCUUUCGCUUCGGAAUAGUCCCGGGAAACUGGGUUUAAUACCGAAUACGCCGUAUUGGGAAAGAUUUAUCGGCGAAGGAUCGGCCCGCGUUAGAUUAGCUAGUUGGCGGUGUAAUGGACCACCAAGGCUACGAUCUAUAGCUGGUCUGAGAGGAUGAUCAGCCACACUGGGACUGAGACACGGCCCAGACUCCUACGGGAGGCAGCAGUGGGGAAUCUUGGACAAUGGGCGCAAGCCUGAUCCAGCCAUGCCGCGUGAGUGAAGAAGGCCUUAGGGUUGUAAAACUCUUUCGCCGGAGAAGAUAAUGACGGUAUCCGGAGAAGAAGCCCCGGCUAACUUCGUGCCAGCAGCCGCGGUAAUACGAAGGGGGCUAGCGUUAAUCGGAAUUACUGGGCGUAAAGCGUGCGCAGGCGGCUUUGCAAGACAGAUGUGAAAUCCCCGGGCUCAACCUGGGAACUGCAUUUGUGACUGCAUGGCUAGAGUGCGGCAGAGGGGGAUGGAAUUCCGCGUGUAGCAGUGAAAUGCGUAGAUAUGCGGAGGAACACCGAUGGCGAAGGCAAUCCCCUGGGCCUGCACUGACGCUCAUGCACGAAAGCGUGGGGAGCAAACAGGAUUAGAUACCCUGGUAGUCCACGCCCUAAACGAUGUCAACUGGUUGUUGGACGGCUUGCUGUUCAGUAACGAAGCUAACGCGUGAAGUUGACCGCCUGGGGAGACGGCCAACC
rnacentral:rRNA from 1 species